UUUCCGUAGGUGAACCUGCGGAAGGAUCAUUAUUAUAUAACCGCGGACCCAGGCAUGUCGCUGACCCUGACUGUUGUUCACUCCCGUGUGCCCUCCCACCUGUCCAUCUCUCCCCUAUGUUCACCACCGCUUACGUCCGCCCUUCCUUUUCUCGGGGGUGGGCUUCCUUCUUCAGACAAACUUUUUAUGUCGUUUUUGUUGUUUUUUUUGUUUUUACAUUUUUACUAACAAUUCAACUUUUAACCACCGAUCUCUUGGCUUUCGCCUCGGUGAAGAACC
rnacentral:misc_RNA from 1 species